UCCCAUGCCUCAGAGAGGCUUCCGGUGGCUCUGCACAGGGAGGCUGAGGGUGUCACUUUCUGCUCCAAAGGCCAACCCUUUUCUUCCCAGUUGUGCACAAUCCCCUCUGCUCCUACUCAGAUUUCCCCCAAGCCACACUCUAGUCUCUUGCUGUUCCAGCCACUCUUUUCUCAUUCCCACUUUCCAGAAAUCUCCCAUAUCUUUAAUGAAGCCCUUCCCAAGUGCUUGGGAGAAGAAUGGGUCUCUCUUCUGGAAAGUAAUGAGUGUGGCUCCUUUGCCACUCAUCACGCCUUGCCCAAAAAGAAUGGAAAAACUAAUCCCAAAAAGCACUAAUUAUGUCAGUCACAGCCCUAAGCAUUUUGUAUAAGUUAACUGAUUUAAUCCUGUCAAAUAUCCUUUGAAGUGGUGUGAUGGUUAAUUUUAGGUGUCCACUUGGCUGAGCCAUGGUGCCCAGAGAAGUGGUCAAACAUAUUACCGAAUGUUUCUGUCAGGGUGUUUUUGGAUGAGAUUAACAUUUAAAUCAAUAGACUGAAUAAAGCAGAUUGCCCUUUGGCCUAACCAAAUCAGCUGAAGCCCUGACUGGAACACAAGACUGACCUCCUCCGUGCAAGAGGAAAUUCUGCUGGCAGAUGGCCCUUGGACUUGAACUGCAGCAUUGCCUCUUCCCUGGUCUCCAGCCUGCCAGCCCACCCUGCAGAUUUUGGACUUGCAAACCUCCAUGAUCAUUUGUCAGUUUUGUGAAGACAGAAUCUGUUCAUCUGGUCAAUGUCCCACGUGGAGGCCCAGCCUAGACUCUUGAAGGGAAGGCGUUUAGGAGAGUUGCUUAUAUGCAUGAAGGGUGCUCACUGGAAAGGGACACUUUCAUGCCUGUAACGAUCGGCUUGGAUCUGCCAGGAAAACUCCCCUAACUGCUGCGCUGGGCAGCACAUGAAAAAAAGCUGGCAAUGAGACUAGAAUUACAAACAAUGUAGCAUGGCCUUGCCAAGAUAUAAAUACAGAGGAAACAUUCAAAAGGACAGUAUCAAAUUAUCUGCAAAGAUGAAGAAAGUAAUGACUUACAUUCUCCAUCCUCUGGCUGGGUGACUCACUAAAGUGGAAAAUGAGGCAGCUGGAGAUUAAAGCUACCCCCAAAAGAGAGAAAACGAUGGACUCUGAGGAGCCAAUCCAAGUAGACAAGUUAACAUGCCAUCAGCACAUUUGGAGCAGGAGGUGG